ACAACAUAAAUCCCUAGUAGAAGAGAAAGCCCCCUUUUUCGGGGCAAAGUAGAGUGGCGCACGGGUGAGAUAACACGUAGGUAACUCUUACCUUUUGUGAUGGGGAAUAACACUCGGAAACGGUGUGCUUAACUACCUGCAUAAUGCAGCUGGCCACCUUAAGUGGUGACUAGUUUGUUAAAGCGGGGGGAUCCAAAAGACCUUUGCUGUUUAAAGAGGCAGCCGUGCGGCAGGUAUUAGCUUUGUUGGUAGGGUACCUGGCUUUACCAAGGCGACUGACCCGUAGCCGGCCUUGAGAGGGCGGCCUGGCCACACUUGACACUUGACAUACGGGUCAGACCUCCUACGGGAGGCAGCAGCCGGGAAUUUUGGGCAAUGGGCACAAGCCUUGACCCAGCAACGCCGCGUGAAGGAUGAAACCCCUUCGGGAUGAAAACUUUCGCAAGAACGGGAAGAAAAGUCGUGUGAAAAUACCACAGAAUGAUGACGGUCCGUUUGAAAGCCUCGGCAAACCUCCGUGCCANCAGCCGCGGUAAUCGGGGGGAGCAAGUGUUUCGAUUUCUGGCGAAAAGGGCGCGUACGCGCCACCCCAGUAAUUGGAAUCCG
rnacentral:rRNA from 1 species